UACGGAGGGGGCAAGCGAGAGCCGGAUUCACUGGGUUUAAAGGGUGCGUAGGUGGGCAGGUAAGUCAGUGGUGAAAUCUCUGGGCUUAACCCGGAAACUGCCGUUGAUACUAUCUGUCUUGAAUAUAGUGGAGGUGAGCGGAAUAUGUCAUGUAGCGGUGAAAUGCUUAGAUAUGACAUAGAACAUCGAGGGCGAAGGCAGCUCGUUACACUAUGAUUGACACUGAGGCACGAAAGCGUGGGGAUCAAACAGG
rnacentral:rRNA from 1 species